GGGCGGUUAGCUCAGUCUGGUUAGAGCGUCUGUCUUACACACAGAAAGUCCGAGGUUCAAAUCCUCGACCGCCCA
rnacentral:tRNA from 1 species